UGGACCAUCUGUACUUCCAAGUUUAAGAGCCACCUGAUGAUGAGAGAGACAAUUUCAAUGUGGGCAUCUUGAUGAAGAAGAGUCCACAGUCACAAUAACAAGAUCAUUGGGCUGUCCCCUAAUUGUGGUGAGCUACAUGUUUAGUCUCUUAUGUGCUAAACAUUAUGUAGCCUAAGGAAGCAGCCCUGACUCUGGAGUUUAUAUGAAGGAGCAUGCUGAGUAACUAUCCAGAAUGUAGGUCCAAAGCAGAAAAAAGAGCACCAAGCAGAAACAUACCAUCUAAACUCCUUCGAUUCCUGUCAGACCAGAAAGACUUUCAGAAUCCUUGGAAGAUUUAAAGCCAUUGAAGUAUCAGUAUUGGAGCGGAAGAAGACCCAGUUGUAUCGUCUGUUUCCUGCCAUCUUGCAGUUAACCUCGUUUCUUAAUGUAAAGUA